AAGGAAUAUUGGUCAAUGGAGGCAACUCUGAACCAGCCAUGCCGCGUGCAGGAUGACGGCCCUAUGGGUUGUAAACUGCUUUCGUACCAGAGAAAACCUACUCACGUGUGAGUAGCUGAUAGUAUGGUAAGAAUAAGCAUCGGCCAACUUCGUGCCAGCAGCCGCGGUAAGACGAAGGAUGCAAGCGUUAUCCGGAUUCAUUGGGUUUAAAGGGUGCGUAGGCGGACUUGUAAGUCAGUGGUGAAAUCUCUUCGCUUAACGAAGAAACUGCCAUUGAUACUGCAGGUCUAGAGUAUAGAUGACGUUGGCGGAAUAUGACAUGUAGUGGUGAAAUACUUAGAUAUGUCAUAGAACACCGAUUGCGAAGGCAGCUAACGAAACUAUAACUGACGCUGAGGCACGAAAGUGCGGGGAUCAAAC
rnacentral:rRNA from 1 species